GACGAACGCUGGCGGCGUGCUUAACACAUGCAAGUCGAACGGAAAGGCCCUGCUUUUGUGGGGUGCUCGAGUGCCGAACGGGUGAGUAACACGUGAGUAACCUGCCCUUGCCUUUGGGAUAACUUCAGGAAACUGGGGCUAUUACCGGAUAGGAGCUCCUGCUGCAUGGUGGGGGUUGGAAAGUUUCGGCGGUUGGGGAUGGACUCGCGGCUUAUCAGCUUGUUGGUGGGGUAGUGGCUUACCAAGGCUUUGACGGGUAGCCGGCCUGAGAAGGUGAACGGCCACAUUGGGACUGAGAUAAGGCCCAGACUCCUAAGGGAGGCAGAAGUGGGGAAUAUUGCACAAUGGGCGGAAGCCUGAUGCAGCAACGCCGCGUGCGGGAUAACGGCCUUCGGGUUGUAAACCGCUUUCGCCUGUGACGAAGCGUGAGUGACGGUAAUGGGUAAAGAAGCACCGGCUAACUACGUG
rnacentral:rRNA from 1 species